CUCCUCUUUCUCUUUCUCCACCUUCUUUUCAGUGAAAAUUACUGUCUGUUUCGAUACACUACACUUCUCAUCAUCAUCAUCAGUUGUCAUCCAACUUCGAAAGAUUUACUGUGAUUACCAGUUUUGCUUGCUUUCUACCUCAUCUUUGUCCAUUUUGUUGAUCGUAAUGAUGUUAUCUUCCAACGGUGCAAAUGCUUCUGAUUUAUCUAAAGUCACAAGUAAAACAAAGUUAUUUUUGUUGAUCCUGAUUGGAAUUCAGUUUACUUUGAGUCUAAUUGAAUUUGUCUUAGCCAUUGUCAAUGGAUAUGUUGAAGCCAUCCUGAUCACUGUGAUAAGUGUCUGCAUUGAUGGAACCCUUUUGAGUGCAAUCUUCAUGCAAUGGAAAUCCGUAUUACGAGUUUUCCGUACAAUAAUCAUUGUUAUUGUAAUAAUUUGUAUCAUUGCCUCACUGGCAGGAAUCCUUGUCCUUGUUGGCGGUGAAAAAUUGGAGAAACAUCAAGUUGCCGAAGAUCUGAUUACCGUCAUAAUUGGUUCACUAAUUUAUUCACUUUUAGCUUACCUGUUGGGCAAAUAUCUCGAUCAAAUCUCCGUCAGCGAGCAGUUCAGCUACAGUACAUAAUCAUUUGUAUCUUAAUCUCUAUCAUCACCCCACCAUCAUCAUCAAUUUUAAAUAUUCAAUUCAUUAUCACCAUUUUUCACACCAACAUCAUCGAGUACGUUUCUCAUACCAUUACUCAAGGCUUAUGGACUAACUCAUUUUUUGGCAAUUGUCGCUUUUUGGCCCUUUUCGGAUCAUUUGAGUAUUCAGAUGAUCUGUUUAUCGAUCGAUCUUGUCUGAGCUUAAACAUAAUUGGAAGAUGCGUUGAAUAACUUAUCCAGCGGACCAGAAUCAAGGAAAAAACAUAUCGAUUCAAGGCAAACCCAGCUAUUCUCAAUGAGCCUGAUUCAACAUAGUUACAAUUGUUUGUAUUUUUUUCAAAACAAUUGUAUCUAUAGAGACUUUUCAUGUUUCACCUUUUUUUCAUUUUUAUACACUUUUUCCUUCCAUCCAUUUUAUACUUAAACAUGCAAACAUUUUUUUACCCAAUUUUUAAUCGUUCACUUUGAUCAUUAAUUUCGAUCAUUCGUAAUCUUUAAAUCAUCUUGCAAAUACUCAUCAAUCAAUUGUAAUACACUUUGAUGCAAAAACAAUAAAUUUUUUGUAAUUUUCCAAUCA